rnacentral:rRNA from 1 species
AUUGAACGCUAGCGGCAUGCCUUACACAUGCAAGUCGAACGGCAGCACGGGGGCAACCCUGGUGGCGAGUGGCGAACGGGUGAGUAAUACAUCGGAACGUACCAAGUAGUGGGGGAUAACGUAGCGAACGCUACGCUAAUACCGCAUACGCACUGAGGUGGAAAGCGGGGGAUCGCAAGCCCUCGCGCUCUUGGAGCGGCCGAUGGCAGGUUAGCUAGUGGGUGGGGUAGGAGCCUACCAAGGCGACGAUCUGUAGCUGGUCUGAGAGGACGAGCAGCGACACUGGGAGUGGGACACGGCCCGGACGCCUACGGGAGACAGCAGUGGGGAAUUUUGGACAAUGGGGGCAACCCUGAUCCAGCAAUGCCGCGUGUGUGAAGAAGGCCUUCGGGUUGUAAAUCGCUUUUGGCGGGAACGAAAGUGCCUGGGCUAAUACCCUGGGUUGAUGACGGUACCCGCAGAAUAAGCACCGGCUAACUACGUGCCAGCAGCCGCCGUAACAC